rnacentral:lncRNA from 1 species
GUCCCCUGCUCACCCGGUGGCAAAGCCGGCGAGGAGGCGGCGGCGCUGGUGGGGACUGACCCGGCAGUCCGAGAAUCCACCGCGGCCUUUUCACCCAACCGCCCCCUCCUGCGUGGGGGCCCCGCAUCCCCUGGACUGGCGUGGGCUCUGGGGCCCGAUGCCCUGGCAGCCCCGGCCAUCUCUGCCGCUGGCCGCGGGUACCUGCUCACCUGUCCACGCCGUGGCCGACCCGGGGAUCACCGACAGCCGGGCCAUGCCUCGAGUCCCGCCGCCCGCGCCGCUGCUCGGCUUCUCAGAAACGCACCUCCACGCCGCCAGCCGGGGCUCCAGGGUCCACCGCCCGGGCCCGGAGGACUGGCGACUCCCUCCGAGGUUGGGAGCGCUCCGGAUUUCUCCAACUUCAGGUCGGUCCCCACCCACCGGGCCACGUGACUGGGGAGGGGGCAGCCGGUGCAGGCGUGUGGAGGAGGCUUUCGGGACCUCCUCCCCCGGGCACCCUCUGCCUGCAGCCCGGCACCCGGCCCGCGUUUCCGAGCCGGGGGAGCAGGUGCAGUCGGAAGCCCGCGGGUGGGCGUGGGGCGGGGGAGUGGCGAGGGUCCCCCGCCUCCGCGGGAGCGCACGCGGCUGCGAGCCCUACACCUGCUCUCCGACCAAAGAAGCACCUGUUUUUCUCAAUAAGUGCUAGGGCUUACCAUCUAAAGGAUCGUUCACCAUCCCUCCAGCGUCCUUAGUAGGAGCGAUUGGAACCCGUUUUUCUUCCUGAAUAAUCCAUACUUUUAAGCCAUUCUAAUCGGGCCUUCAGGCAUCCUGGAUUCUGGUCUCGACAUUGUGAUUUGACACAAAUCACGUUUUCACUCUGGAAACCACAACUACUCCCUCCACCCCAUCACGCAGGAGCAGACCUGGAUAAGAAAUAUGUGCACUCUGCAAAGAACCAAUGAUAA